rnacentral:rRNA from 1 species
AACGAACGCUGGCGGCAUGCCUGACACAUGCAAGUCGAACGAGACCUUCGGGUCUAGUGGCGCACGGGUGCGUAACGCGUGGGAACCUGCCCUUAGGUUCGGAAUAACUCCCCGAAAGGGGUGCUAAUACCGGAUAAUGUCUUCGGACCAAAGAUUUAUCGCCUUUGGAUGGGCCCGCGUUGGAUUAGCUAGUUGGUAGGGUAAAAGCCUACCAAGGCGACGAUCCAUAGCUGGUCUGAGAGGAUGAUCAGCCACACUGGGACUGAGACACGGCCCAGACUCUUCGGGGAGGGAGGGGGGGGGAAUGUGGAAAAGCGGCGGAAGGCAUGAACGCGCUCGGCCGGGGGAGGUAUGAGGCUCUGGGGGUUGAAAAGUUUUUUUACCGGGGAUGAUAUUGACGGUACCGGAAAAGAAAGCCCCGGCUAACUCCGUG